rnacentral:rRNA from 1 species
CGGUGUGUACAAAGGGCAGGGACGUAAUCAACGCGAGCUGAUGACUCACGCUUACUAGGAAUUCCUCGUUGAAGUCCAAUAAUUGCAAUGGACUAUCCCCAGCACGAUCAAGUUUCAAAAGAUUACCCAGACCUUCCGGCCAAGGUUGUAAACUCGUUGACUUGAUCAGUGUAGCGCGCGUGCGGCCCAGAACAUCUAAGGGCAUCACAG